rnacentral:piRNA from 1 species
UCCCAAAAUUUGAGGGCCUGAGUUCAAAU